UACGUAGGGGGCAAGCGUUGUCCGGAAUCAUUGGGCGUAAAGAGCGUGUAGGCGGCCCGAUAAGUCCGCUGUGAAAGUCCAGGGCUCAACCCUGGGAUGCCGGUGGAUACUGUCGGGCUCGAGUCCGGAAGAGGAGUGUGGAAUUCCUGGUGUAGCGGUGAAAUGCGCAGAUAUCAGGAGGAACACCAAUGGCGAAGGCAGCACUCUGGGACGUGACUGACGCUGAGGCGCGACAGCGUGGGGAGCAAACAGG
rnacentral:rRNA from 1 species